rnacentral:rRNA from 1 species
UACAGAGGGGGCAAGCGUUGUUCGGAAUUACUGGGCGUAAAGGGCGCGUAGGCGGCCUUCUAAGUCGAACGUGAAAUCCCCGGGCUCAACCCGGGAACUGCGUCCGAUACUGGAAGGCUUGAAUCCGGGAGAGGGAUGCGGAAUUCCAGGUGGAGCGGUGAAAUGCGUUGAUAUCCGCAGGAACUCCGGUGGCGAAGGCGGCGUGCUGGACCUCUUCUGACGCUGAGGCGCGAAAGCUAGGGGAGCAAACGGG